rnacentral:pre_miRNA from 1 species
AUCACCUGGGAAUCUUGUUAAAAUGCUGAUUCUGAUUCAGGGAAUCUUGAUAAAAUCUCGAUUCUGGUUCAGGAGAUCUGGGAUGGGGGCUAAGAUUCUGCAUUUCUAACAAGCUCCCAGAUAAUGCCAG